GUUUGUUAUUUACAUGAAUACACAACAGUGCCAUUAACCCAACUGCUCUAAAAGAUUGUCUGUUUCUGAGCAGUGUAUGUUUCAUCUCUGGCUAGGAAUAAACCAAAAAGUUUUGAUGUGCCUAUCCUGAUUUUUUUGCUGUGCUUUGCAAGAAGGAACUGGGAAAAGCUUUUUUAGCCUCCACAACUUCUUGGGGGGAAGAAUCCGUGGAGGUUUUUCAUUAUCCCAUGAGUUUAGUUUGGAGCUGCCUGUGACAGGAUUAUGUAUUAUUGUCUCAAGAGCCAGGAAAAAUGAACUGGUGAGAGAGAGACUCAGCCAGUAUUGCCCCAGCUCCUGGAGUCAAGUGGAUAUGUGAUGAAUUCAGCCUUCACUCUUCAAGAAAAAGUAAUUUUUCUAUCCCUCAUGGCUGUGGAUAUAGCUUCAACAUGUGAUCCCAGUGGACCCUAAAGGCUCAAAAAGCUGAAGGCAAAUAAAAAGAACACCAAUCUAUUGUUUUUACAUAAUCUCAUGAUUUUAAAGCCAAUCUCAUUAUUUUUGAACAUUUGGGGUUGGCAAUAUUGUGAGUCCUGCCAACCCCUUGGGUACCACCACCAGGAAAUGGUGCAUACCUCACCAGAUAAGGCCAAAACAUUCUUGGGUACUAGGACUCAGGCAUAGUUUGAGGAGGAUAGAGAAAGGUGCAGUUCCUUUACUUUCCUCCCAUUGCUUGCUGAUCCACCUCUAAAACUAACACUGGAAUUUUUCCGUCUCCCUCCCAUCCCACAAUGCACAGCUCUAAGGCAGAGAAAAGGAGCUGAAUUAACAGUGUGCGCAGCCAUAGCAGUGCUGCCCUGGAACCUGAGUGCUAUUUAAUGGGGAGAAGGCACAUUUGUACCUUUCAACUUCCCAAGGUCCAAACACUGUGGGAUUCCCUCCUUUAGUGUAAAUAACCUUGCUAUAACUUCAGUUUCAGAAUUCUUUAAUUUUUAUUCAAAUAAUUUUUAGCAGUACAAGUGAGGGGACACCAAAUUUGUGUGCAAUGUAAAUAACUUUGGGACAAAAAUGAGUGAUGUUCAUUGAAAAUGAGGGAAUAUGAGGCGAGAAUGAGGGAAGAACACAACAGUACCAGUCCCUCUUACCUAUUCCAUAAGCCCCCUACCUAGCAGUAUUAGCAGCCUCAACCCACAGUACCCAGGCAUUAUCAACCCGCACCCACCUUCCAGUAGAGCCAGCCUCCCCUACAAGACUCCAACCAGCAGCUCCUCCUACCCUGUUAUCACUUACUCCCACAAAAUAGCCCCUUGUUAUUCCCGCAUAGGGUGGGUCAUUGAUGAUUUGCUGGUAUUUUGAGAAGUACAGACCCCAAAAGGUUGAAGACCACUGUAUUAGACCGUGCUGCCUCUCAUAUGUAACAAUGAGUUCAGUUCUGACCCCUCUGGUGUUAGUAGUAAAACACCCAUUGACUUCUAUUGAAGGAGGAUUCACCCAUAGUUAUUAACAUUAAAAAAUACUGAACUGAGCAUGGGCAAUAGACAUUUUCAUGAUAUGUUGCAGCACGCAUUUAAGAUUUGGCCUAAAUUUUCAAUUAUUUUAAACAUUUAUAAAAUAUAAGACCAACAGACAUUUUUUCCAUUUAAAAGUGUCUAUAACAUUGUUUGUUUAAAAACAUUCUCCAAACAAACAUAUUUGAAACCCCAACAUUGCUUUACUAAGAACAUUAAAGUGAAAAU